rnacentral:rRNA from 1 species
UACGAAGGGGGCUAGCGUUGUUCGGAAUCACUGGGCGUAAAGCGCACGUAGGCGGAUCUUUAAGUCAGGGGUGAAAUCCCGAGGCUCAACCUCGGAACUGCCUUUGAUACUGGGGAUCUCGAGUCCGGGAGAGGUGAGUGGAACUGCGAAUGUAGAGGUGAAAUUCGUAGAUAUUCGCAAGAACACCAGUGGCGAAGGCGGCUCACUGGCCCGGAACUGACGCUGAGGUGCGAAAGCGUGGGGAGCAAACAGG